rnacentral:rRNA from 1 species
ACAGAGGUGGCAAGCGUUGUUCGGAAUUACUGGGCGUAAAGGGCGCGUAGGCGGUCGAUUAAGUCCCGUGUGAAAUCCCUCGGCUCAACUGAGGAACUGCACGGGAAACUGGCUGACUUGAGUUCGGGAGAGGGAAGCGGAAUUCCGGGUGUAGCGGUGAAAUGCGUAGAUAUCCGGAGGAACACCGGUGGCGAAGGCGGCUUCCUGGACCGAUACUGACGCUGAGGCGCGAAAGCUAGGGGAGCAAACGGGAUUAGAUACCCCGGUAGUCCUAGCUGUAAACGAUGAGUGCUGGGUGUAGGGGGUAUUAACCCCUCCUGUGCCGAAGCUAACGCAUUAAGCACUCCGCCUGGGGAGUACGGUCGCAAGGCUG